rnacentral:rRNA from 1 species
AGUGAACGCUGGCGGUAGGCCUAACACAUGCAAGUCGAACGGCAGCACAGUAAGAGCUUGCUCUUACGGGUGGCGAGUGGCGGACGGGUGAGGAAUACAUCGGAAUCUACUUUUUCGUGGGGGAUAACGUAGGGAAACUUACGCUAAUACCGCAUACGACCUACGGGUGAAAGCAGGGGAUCUUCGGACCUUGCGCGAUUGAAUGAGCCGAUGUCGGAUUAGCUAGUUGGCGGGGUAAAGGCCCACCAAGGCGACGAUGCGUAGCUGGUCUGAGAGGAGGAGCGGAGACACGGGGAGUGAGAAACGGCCCAGAGGCCUACGGGAGGCAGGAGGAGGGAAGUUGGGACAAGGGGGGAAAGCCUGAUGGAGCAAUGCGGGGGGGGUGAUGAAGGCAUCCGGGUAGUAAAGCGCUUUUGGCGGGGAAGAAAAGGACUGUGCGAAGACCACGGUAGGAUGACGGGACCCGAAGAAGAAGCAAAGGCUAACUACGUG